rnacentral:lncRNA from 1 species
CCAGUACCGAGUCCAUGUGCAGCGGUAUGAGGUAAUGCAGGUAGAUAUAUACAUAUAUGUAGAGAUAAAGUGAGUAGGCAACAGGAUAGAUAAUAGACAGUAGCAGCAGCAUAUGUGAUGAGAUAGUGCAAAAAGGGUGAAUGCAGAGAGGGUAGAUAUUGGUCAACUAUUUUAUCUAACUAUUUAGCAGUUUGGGGGGUAGAAGCUGUUCUGGAUCCUGUUAGUUCCAGACUUAGUGCAUCGGUACCGCUUGCCAUGCGGUAGCAGAGAGAACAGUCUAUAACUUGGGUGGCUGGAGUCUUUGAAAAUGUUGAGGGCCUAUAGGUCUUAAGGCUAGGGUUAUGUCUUAAGACUAGAGUUAGGUCUUAAGACUAGGGUUAAGUCUUAGGACUAGGGUUAGGUCACAUGGCUAGGGUUAGGUCUUAAGGCUAGGGCUAGGGUUAGGUCUUAAGGCUAGGGCUAGGGUUAGGUCUUAAGGCUAGGGUGAGGGCUAGGUCUUAAGGCUAGGGCUAGGGCUAGGUCUUAAGGCUAGGGAUAGGGCUAGGGUUAGGUCUUAGGGCUAGGGUUAGGACUAGGUCUUAAGGCUAGGGUUAGGACUAGGGUUAGGUCUUAAGGCUAGGGUUAAGGCUUAAGGCUAGGGUUAGGUUUAAGGCUAGGGUUAGGACUAAGGUUAGGUCUUAAGGCUAGGGUUAGGUCUUAAGGCUAUGGUUAGGUUUUAAGGCUAGGGUUAGGUCUUAAGGCUGGGGUUAGGUCUUAAGGCUAGGGUUAGGGCUAGGUCUUAAGGCUAGGGUUAAGGCUUAAGGCUAGGGUUAGGUUUAAGGCUAGGGUUAGGACUAAGGUUAGGUCUUAAGGCUAGGGUUAGGUCUUAAGGCUAUGGUUAGGUUUUAAGGCUAGGGUUAGGUCUUAGGGAUAGGGUUAGGUUUUACGGCUAGGGUUAGGUCUUAAGGCUAGGGCUGGGGUUAAGGCUAGGGUUAGGUCUUAAGGCUAGAGUUAGGUUUUACGGCUAGGGUUAGGUCUUAAGGCUAGGGUUGGGGCUAGGUCGGCUAGGGUUAGGUCUUAAGGCUAGGGUUAAGUCUUAAGGCUAGGGUUAGGGUUAAGGCUAGGGUUAGGUCUUAAGGCUAGGGUUAGGGUUAAGGCUAGGGUUAGGUCUUAAGGCUAGAGUUAGGUUUUACGGCUAGGGUUAGGUCUUAAGGCUAGGGCUGGGGUUAAGGCUAGGGUUAGGUCUUAAGGCUAGAGUUAGGUUUUACGGCUAGGGUUAGGUCUUAAGGCUAGGGUUGGGGCUAGGUCGGCUAGGGUUAGGUCUUAAGGCUAGGGUUAAGUCUUAAGGCUAGGGUUAGGGUUAAGGCUAGGGUUAGGUCUUGAGGCUAGGGUUAGGUCUUGAGGCUAGGGUUGGGUCUUGAGGCUAGGGUUAGGUCUUGAGGCUAGGGUUAGGUCUUGAGGCUAGGGUUAGGUCUUGAGGCGAGGGUUGGGUCUUGAGGCUAGGGUUAGGUCUUGAGGCGAGGGUUGGGUCUUAAGGCUAGGGUUAGGUCUUAAGGCUAGGGCUGGGUCUUAAGGCUAGGGCUAGGGUUAAGGCUAGGGUUAGGUCUUAAGGCUAGGGCUGGGGUUAAGGCUAGGGCUAGGGUUAAGGCUAGGGUUAGGUCUUAAGGCUAGGGCUAGGGUUAAGGCUAGGGUUAGGUCUUAAGGCUAGGGCUGGGGUUAAGGCUAGGGUUGGGUCUUGAGGCUAGGGUUAAGGCUUGCAAAGCUCCGCCAAAUACAGCACUAGAGCUGUGAUGUACUUUAGUAAAACACCCAGUCUCUAUAACUGCCUCUGAGUAGUCACAACUGUGGUCUUCAAACUGAACUAAACUAAGUCCCAUCAAAAGGAAGUAUACUUAGACUGAGAGGGAAGGUAACUGACCAACUCAUUUCCAUUAAGUGAUUCAUUGGUGGGGUAGCCUAUAUUUAGUCUAUACUGAGUGUAUAUUUAGGUUUUCACAGUUCGUAAUACUCUACUCUUUAUCACUUCCACGGUCAUUUCAGGUUCCUUCCUCUCAACUCCUACAUUGCCAAGCGCUCCACACACACACACGCAGACCAACCCACUGGUCCCCUACGCCCCAACACACAUCUCAUCCGGGAUAGAUCCUGAUUGGUUUUCCUCUCUGUGAGUAUUGUCUGUAAUUGAGUUUGACAGUGGAAGCCUGCAUGUCCUGUAGCUAUGUUAAACGCCCAAUUUACAUCUUCAUUUACAAUUCUACAUGGAUAAAAACCAAUUAAUU